ACAACAGAACAAAUCAAAGCGCUGUAAGCGCUGAAGGCAGUUAACCAAAAACCAAGACAACCGUAAUUAUGAAAACUGUGGCAAUGUUGCCUCAACAUUAAACAUUCAUGUAUAGUACAUUCAUGUUUAUCUAAUGGUGUAUUUAUUAAGGCAAAUAGUUUAUAUGUUAUCAAGGUUUCAAAAGCAAUGCAUAUAUCAAUGUAUAUUUUUUAUGGUGAGUCUGCAGUGGUACAAGUUCCCAAUGAUUGCAGUUGUUCUACUUGGUAGUUAACCUUGGUUUUAUUUGACUGCUAGAAGUUCAAUUUGACGUAGUAUGAACAUGUAAUAGUAUGAAUGGACUGGUUUCCCUGGAAAGAAAACUGAGUUUGUGUUCUAUAGUACAAAAGUUAUGAGACACGAAUCAGACAAAUGUUCACUACAACAGGGAUCAAAGAUGAGGUCUGACUGACUUGCCCAUAGUAAAUGUAAAUGAUUUGUUAUUUUGUCCCAUACAUAUGAAUAUAUAUAAUUUAGGGAUGGGGAUCUCAACGGUUUUCAAGUUCUCAAACAGGUAGGGGUAGGCAAAGGAUUUAGGGGGCAGGGGGCUUAUAUAGGGAAUCACUGAAGCGUGACUGGAGCAGGCCCCUCUUAGGUCAGUCAGUGGGCCCCACUUAUGAAAAUUUCUUGAUCCGCCACUGGGGGUAGGGUGACCCUAGGGACUUCCCCUACAUUUAAUUUUAUUUGUUAUAUUGUCCCAUACAUGAAUAUAUAUGGUUUAGGGGUGGGGAUCUCAUUGGUUUCCAAGUUCUCAAACAGGAAGGGUAGGGUGACCCAAGGGACUUCCCUUAUAUAUCAUUUGAUUUGUUAUAUUGUCCCAUACAUGAGUAAUAUAUAUGGUUUAGGGGUAAGGAUCUUGACCAUUUCCAAGUUCUCAAACAGGAGGGUGAACAGUGACCUCAGGGACUCCCCCUAUCUUUCAUCUGAUUUGUUAUAUUGUCCCAUACAUGAAUAUAUAUGGUUUAGGGAUGGGGAUCUCGACCAUUUUUAAAUUCUAAAACAGGAGGGUGGGGUGACCCCUAGCGACUCUUCCUAUAUUUCAUUUGAUUUUUCAUAUUGUCACAAACAUGAAUAUAUAUGGUUAAGGGGUGUGGAUCUCGACCGUUUCCAAGUUCUCAAACAGGAAGGGGUGGGGUAUCUCCAGGGACUCCCCUAUAUUUCAUUUUUUAUUUAUUAUAUUGUCCUAUACUUGAAUAUAUGCAGGGGCGGAUUCGGACAGGGGGGGUUGCGGGCUUGCACCCCCCUUAAAUUUGCAAGCAUGGGUUGUUCUCAGCUUAAUAAAGAAAAUUCCGAUAAUUUUACCUCAAUUUUUUUUUAAUAAGCUGAGAACAGCUCGGCGAAAAUUUAAGUUUGCGCCCCUCCUAACCUAAAAUCCUGGAUCUGCCCCUCAUAUGGUUUAGGGGUGGGGAGCUCGACCGUUUCCAAGUUAUCAAACAGGAGGGGGUAGAGUGGCCCAAAGAAUGCCACCUAUAUAUCAUAUGAUUUACUUACAUUAAGGUAUAUAUAAUAUAGUUGCAUUAUUUGUGAAAAUAAAGAAUGAAACUUUCAGCUACUUUAAUUGACCCUUCAAAAUUGAGAAAAAACAA
rnacentral:lncRNA from 1 species